CAGUGGGAAUUCUAUGUAUUUUAUGUACAUUUUAUGUAUUUUACGUUCAAUUUCCCCUUAGAGUAGCAGGGUAAAUUGAAUGUAAAAUAUGGAAAGUGUACAUAAAAUAAAUACAUUUCCCCCUGAG